CAACAAUAAUAGUUAAAGAUAUAGAGAGUGUUAAUAAAGUAAAGGAAGUAGUACAGAUGUUUUGUAGGGGAUCAGGAGGCAAGUUAAAUGAAGAAAAAACAACAUAUGUGAGAUUUGGAGGAGUAAAUGUUUUAACGGAUUAUUUUCAUUUUAAAGAAACAAAAGAAAUAAGGAUUUUAGGUGUUCUAAUGGGAAAAGACGAAAGGAAUGUUAAAGAAAAAAUGUGGGAAGAAAUAGUAGGAGGAAUUGAAAGAAGGUUAAAUUUUUGGAAAUUGAGGACUUUAAGUUUAAAAAGGGAAGGUUUUAAUUUUAAAUGUUUUAAUGGUGUCAAAGUUGUGGUAUGUUUUAUAUGUGACUGCUAUGCCAAUGUGGGUGGAGAAAAGGUUGAAAAAAUGUUUUUUAGAUUUUUUAUGGAAUAGUAAACCGUCAAGAAUUGCAUAUAGUACAUUAAUAGGAGAUGUAGGGAAAGGAGGGAUGGGAUUAAUUGAUAUUGAACAGAGAAAAAAUAGCUUAAGAAUUAAAAUAGUAAAAAAAUAUCUAGAUGAUGGUCACAAAACUGCAUGGAAAAAGACAAUGGAAUAUUUUUUAAACAAAUGUGGGGAUUUUAACAUGGGGGAUGGGAUUUUAUGGAUGAAAACAAAGAAUUGGAUGACAGAGUGCUUACCAGAGUUUUAUAGGGAAAUGUUUAGUGCCUGGGGAAAAUUUUUAGAUAGACUUGAGUAUGAUCCACAUGGGAGAGAAAACAUUUUAAAUCAACCUCUGUUUUUAAACCAAAACAUUUUAAAACAAGACAAAGGAAUUUUUUUAAAGAAAUGGAUGGAAGUGGGGAUAACAAGAGUGAGAGAUGUUUUGUAUGAAUUUAAAGAAGGGUUUUUACCGACACAAUUUAUUGUAGAUGCAAUGGAGGAGGCAAAAGAGGAUUACAGUGAACAAGAAAUAAAAAAUAAAUAUGAAAUCAUUAAAAAUGCAAUACCUAAAGAGUGGAUAAAAAGAAUAGAAAGUAUGGAAGGAGAGCCAAAAGAGAAAUGUAUUCAUGUGAAAUUAGGGGGAAAACUGUAUGAUUUUAAGGAAUGUACUGUGAAAAUGAUUUAUUGUGCUUUUAGAGAUGAUGUUUUUAAAGAGCCGAUUGCAAAUGGUUACUGGGUGCAGAAAUUCAAAGAUUUAAAAAAAGAGUGUAUAUGGAGAAACAUGACGGGGAAAUGUGUGGAAACAAAAUUGGAAUGUUUGGAGUAUUUUAUAAGGCAUAAAGUGGUUUUUACUGAUGUUAUUUUAAAUAAAAUAGGAAUGGAAGAAAAUGCUCUGUGUAAAGUGUGCCAGGAAGAGGAAGAGGGGAUUUUACAUAUGUUUUUACAUUGUAGAGAGCUAGAGGACUUUUUAAGGAAAUGUAAAUGUUUAAUUAAAGAUGUGACUGAGGAGUGGGAUGAAAAUGUAAUGGAAUGGAACAGAGUUGUGAUGUUUGGUUGGGAAAAAAAGUGUAAAAAAACAAAAGUUUCAUUAAUCUGUGUGUAAUGCUAAUGAAAAGUGCAAUAUGGGACAGAAGAACUGUGGCUAAAAAGGAAAAAAUUGUGUUGGAUGUUUGGAGUGUG
ensembl:lncRNA